rnacentral:rRNA from 1 species
CCUACGGGUGGCUGCAGUGGGGAAUAUUGGACAAUGGGCGAAAGCCUGAUCCAGCCAUGCCGCGUGUGUGAAGAAGGCCUUCGGGUUGUAAAGCACUUUCAGUGGGGAAGAAAGCCUUGGGGCUAAUACCCUCGAGGAAGGACAUCACCCACAGAAGAAGCACCGGCUAACUCCGUGCCAGCAGCCGCGGUAAUACGGAGGGUGCGAGCGUUAAUCGGAAUUACUGGGCGUAAAGCGCGCGUAGGCGGUCUGAUAAGCCGGUUGUGAAAGCCCCGGGCUCAACCUGGGAACGGCAUCCGGAACUGUCAGGCUAGAGUGCAGGAGAGGAAGGUAGAAUUCCCGGUGGAGCGGUGAAAUGCGUAGAGAUCGGGAGGAAUACCAGUGGCGAAGGCGGCCUUCUGGACUGACACUGACGCUGAGGUGCGAAAGCGUGGGUAGCAAACAGGAUUAGAUACCCUGGUAGUC